rnacentral:rRNA from 1 species
UUCCCCUACGGGACGCAGCAGUGGGGGAUAUUGCACAAUGGGGGGAACCCUGAUGCAGCGACGCCGCGUGGGCGAUGGAGUGCUUCGGCAUGUAAAGCUCUAUCAGCAGGGAAGAAAAAAAGUCUUUGGCUUUGGACGGUACCUGACUAAGAAGCCCCGGCUAACUACGUGCCAGCAGCCGCGGUAAUACGUAGGGGGCAAGCGUUAUCCGGAUUUACUGGGUGUAAAGGGAGCGUAGACGGCAGCGCAAGUCUGGAGUGAAAUGCCGGGGCUCAACCCCGGAACUGCUUUGGAAACUGUGCAGC